UACGGAGGGUGCAAGCGUUGUUCGGAAUCAUUGGGCGUAAAGCGCGUGUAGGUGGCUUGGCAAGUCGGUUGUGAAAUCCCGGGGCCCAACCCCGGAACUGCAUUCGAAACUGCCUCGCUAGAGUCCCGGAGAGGAAGGCGGAAUUCCCGGUGUAGAGGUGAAAUUCGUAGAUAUCGGGAGGAACACCAGCGGCGAAGGCGGCCUUCUGGACGGUGACUGACACUGAGGUGCGAAAGCGUGGGGAGCAAACAGG
rnacentral:rRNA from 1 species